CUACGUCUCUGUUCCCACGUAAAUGUCUAAAAACGUCUUAAAGUAGAUCCACCGAACUGAAUAAGAAUCUGUGUGCUCUAAAUUAGACUCGUCUUUGUGGAUUCUAAUCGAACUGAGAACGAAACGAGCCAGUGACACUCAUGACACAAGGUGGGAGACAACUGCACACAGUCACACUCCGGAACAUUUAGAGAUGCCAAUCAGCCUAGAGAACACACACAUCUCCAGAGUAAAAGGACAAACCACAAUGAGGGAUCUGCACAAGAUGCAGAAAUUGAACACCUAAUACCAGAGGGAUGGAGCAAACAUACUCCGAGAUAUGAAGAAGAAACCUUGAGAGGAACCAGGCUCAGAAGGGAACCCAUCCUCAUUUGGGUCACACUGAACGGUAAAUAAUGUAAAUGUAAAUAAUGUUCUUUCUACAACAGUUUAUAAUAAUUGCACAACCCGAGAGCUUUCGAGGAACUAAUGGGUCAGCGCAAACUGUAUUGCUGAUAAAGACCAGACCUUACAGCUGACUGACACAACAUUGGUUUAAAAGAAGGCAUGACAGUCUCCAUCUUUUAGCGUGUUACAAGAAAACAACUUCGUUGUUGUUUUUAAGUUAUACCUGUUUAUUUUUACACAGUAUGGAAUGUGGGAUGUCUAUAAAUUAAUUUAUAUAAUCUUACAUAAAGAGAAUUAACUAACAGAAACUAACAAAUAAACUGUGUGUUAACAAGCUU